rnacentral:rRNA from 1 species
UACGUAGGGUGCGAGCGUUAAUCGGAAUUACUGGGCGUAAAGCGUGCGCAGGCGGUUUUGUAAGCCAGAUGUGAAAUCCCCGGGCUUAACCUGGGAACUGCAUUUGUGACUGCAUGGCUAGAGUACGGUAGAGGGGGAUGGAAUUCCGCGUGUAGCAGUGAAAUGCGUAGAUAUGCGGAGGAACACCGAUGGCGAAGGCAAUCCCCUGGACCUGUACUGACGCUCAUGCACGAAAGCGUGGGGAGCAAACAGG